CUUUUAUUUAGAAAUCUUCUCCAUAUAACCUUAUAUAUGUACACACAUCAUCAACACAUGGGUUUGUUUGCUAAAGAGUCACACGCCCGUAGUGUGUUGGUAUCUGGGCGUACAAAGGUCAAGGUACCCGGAGCAGUUACUCCUCUUCUGCAGAAAAAUGCAGAGACCAAUGCAACUCAUCACAUACAGUACAACAUUGACGGAAAGUGCUGAGCCCACUCACAGAAACUGCGCUAUGUACAUGGGCAGGGCAGGCCUCACAUCAGGGUCAGUACCACUGAAAUCACAAGUACAACUAGACCCACCCAGGAGCCCACAAUGCUGUCGGCUGACUACAGACACCUUCUGUUUUAUUUCUGGAAAAGGAUAAAGGCUGUACCAUCUUGUCAUUUACCACUACAAAUGAACAAUAUGAAUUCUUCUUAAAAGAUGGGAUUCCUUCCACAUUCUCUUUGUUCUCCAAGUGGUUUUUUCCCUUUACAUUUUUCUCUUUUGUACAGAUACUGCAGAUAUUAUUCUUGGAACAUUGCCAUUUCUUCAUGGGCAAGGAGAAGGCAAAGGAAGGAGCAGAGCAUGAGUUAUGGAAGGUGAGAACAGAAAUUAGGGGCCUUGGUUAGUUCUUUCAAAGACCUAAAGCCUCUUCCUUCCAGGUCCUGGGCCUGUGGAAGAAGCUGAUUACCUUCUAUAUAGUCUGCCCACGUUCCCGCAUCUCUUUCCCAUUCUCACUGCUCUCCCUCACCUUGGAAUGGGACAGAAACGAAGACAAUCUGGAGAAAUGAGGAUCUAGAUAGCUCAGGCAAAAGUAGUUUACAACCUAAAUUAACCAAAUGCCAACUUCCCAGGGCUGAGAACCACCCUGCAGGAUUGGUACCAAAGGCAAUAGUGCUUUUUUGUUUUAUUUUAAGGGAGAAGAAUUGGGGAUUGAAUCCAGGACCUCAUAUGCUAGGCAAGUGCUCUGCCUUGAGCUAUACCCUCAGCCUGAAGAAGAGCUCUGGUAUGGCCUCAAAAAAACACUUCCACUUUCACAACUGAUGCCCUAGGAGACAGACGAAGCCAGGGUAAUUAUGAGACUCUGACACUUAGAAAGAUACCUAUCCCAGUCACACUGCAGAAAAAGGAACCAGAAGCUUAAGUCCUGAGAGAAUGUGUGACCCAUCUCAUAAAACCCAUCCAUUCACUUGUAACUGCUUUUCAUUGCUAACCAAGCUAAUCAACUAAGAACCAAACACAGCCUUAAAGCCUAGGGCAGCUGCUCCAUGUUUUGUUAGUUACUCCAUGUUUACAAGGGUGAGACUCCUCACGGGAUCUUCUAAGCCCUGGAAAAGAACCAACCCUCACAUUUGUCAAAAUAUAAUUUUGAGAGUAUGAAAUGAGAUGUAGAAUCAGAGUGCUUCAGUGGUUUGCAGUAUUGUCCCCAAACCCAAGAAAUAGACCUCACAAUUUAAAAGGAAGGGGAGAGAAGCUGGGACCCCGUGUUUGCAUAGGGCUGUACUCAAGGCUCCAUCACAGCAGGUGCAACCACUGGGCUGAAGCUCAGAACAUGAUAGGCUUCUGCCUGGUAGGAUGGGGCCAUCAAAUAUUUUCCCUCCGACCUCAAGAGCCUUGUAGGCGAGGGCUGCAGUAACUUAAAUACAAUGCCAGAUACACAGAACUUCUGUGCAGUUUAUUAUAUGGGACUGGAAUGCAUCUCAAGCAGGCCUGGCCUUAAGAAUCGUGUCCCUGGGUGGGCAUUGUGGCACACACCUGUAAUCCCAGCUUUUGGGAGGCUUAGCAGGAGGACUGUCAUGAGUUUGAGGCCAGCCUGGGCUACACAGCAAGACUCCAUCACCAAAAAAAGGAAGCAGGAAGGAAGGAAGGAAGAGAGGGAGGGAGGGAGGGAGGGAAGGAAGGAGGGAAGGAGGG
ensembl:lncRNA